rnacentral:rRNA from 1 species
GAUGAACGCUAGCGGCAGGCUUAAUACAUGCAAGUCGAACGGCAGCACAGGUAGCAAUACUGGGUGGCGAGUGGCGCACGGGUGCGUAACACGUAUGCAACUUACCCUUUACCGAGACAUAACACAUCGAAAGGUGUGCUAAUAUCUCAUAACAUUAAGAUGAGGCAUCUUAUUUUAAUUAAAGUUUCGGUGGUAAAGGAUAGGCAUGCGUCCCAUUAGCUAGUUGGUAGGGUAACGGCUUACCAAGGCUACGAUGGGUAGGGGUUCUGAGAGGAAAAUCCCCCACACUGGUACUGAGACACGGACCAGACUCCUACGGGUGGCAG